rnacentral:lncRNA from 1 species
CAGGCGUCGGUGCUCAGCGGUGUUGGAACUUAGUGGCUUGCUUGCCUGUGCGCGCGUGCGCGGACAUGGCCUCAAACGAUUAUACCCAACAAGCAACCCAAAGCUAUGGGGCCUACCCCACCCAGCCCGGGCAGGGCUAUUCCCAGCAGAGCAGUCAGCCCUACGGACAGCAGAGUUACAGUGGUUAUAGCCAGUCCACGGACACUCCAGGCUAUGGCCAGAGCAGCUAUUCUUCUUAUGGCCAGAGCCAGAACAGUGAGUCUCUCUCAGCGGGUCACCUCUUCCUACUCACCUCUUCCUACUCUUUCUGAAUAUUGCUUUUCUUUUUCUUUUUUUUUGGAGACGGAGUCUGGUCCUGUUGCCCAGGCUGGAGUGCAGUGGUGCUGUCUCAGCUCACUGCAACAUCAGCCUACCGGGUUCAAACGAUUCUCCUGCCUCAGCCUCCUGAGUAGCUGGGAUUACAGGCACCUGCUACCACGCCUGGCUAAUUUUUGUGUUUUUAGUAGAGAUGGGGUUUCACCGUGUUGGACAGGCUGGUCUGGAACUCCUGACCUCCUGCCUGCCUUGGCCUCCCAAAGUGCUGGGAUUACAGGCGUCAGCCACAAUGCCCUGAAUGUUGCUUUUCUUAAACCUGAGCAGCACUGAGAUGUUGAAACUGUUCCAUAUUUCUUUUCCCUGAAACAGUGUAUAAGUCUUAAAACUCUUUGGGGUCUGAGUCCUUUACAGGGCAUUGUGGCACACCUGUAGUCCCAGCUACUGAGGAGGCUGAGGCGGGAGGAUCCCUUGAAUUCAGGAG